CAUUUCUACAAAGGCGGCUGCACAUAUACGUGACCUCUUCUGCAUCUGAAAGGCUGCCUGGUGACAAGCCAUGUGAUGGGAGAGGAAGAGUCCAGUUUUGCAAAAGCCUGUAGAAGUGCAGCAUAUGCAACAAGUGAAAGCAGUCACUGUCUGUGAGGGGGCCCUGUUCAGUACCUCUGAGAGGUACCUGAAAACACUGGUUGAAUGGAGUGUAAUGCCCCUUCUUCUCGAUUGUGGAAAACAGACUACUUCAACUUUUAUGGCAGUGGGGAUGCUAAUGAUGCAACAAUUGUAAGACUUCAGAUGCUCAAACACUGAAGAGCCUAAAAAUGCACCAGAGCUGAUGAACAACUCUGCACCAAACUAAAUAUAGAAACAGCUUUUCAUAAGAUGACAAUGAAGCCUUCCUCAUGCUCUCAUUGUGUUCACAACUGACAUCUGGUCUCCCAGGUACUGAAAUGAAAUACUGGAUGGGAGCCACUUCAGGAGUGCUCAUUCUGAAAUGAGGUCAGAAGGAACAAACAAAACAUGCUUUGGCACAAACAAGGCAAACAAAAUGUACGAGGACAGCAGGUGAGAGGUUGAUUUUUUUUUCCUUGGGCUAACACUCCAAAUUGAGAAGAGGCCUUCACCCCGAUAUCGUUACCAUCACCUGCUCCUUGCAACAGCCAGUAGGCAGUACCUACGCAGGUAUUUUUGUAAGGAAAAAAACAUACAAAUGCACACAGCACAAAAUAUAGAGAGUUUUUUGGAACUGAGGGCUGGUAACUAAAGUGACUUAUUGCUUUAGCGGCUGCGUCAGAAUCUUGGACUGUUGGACACAAGCAGUCUGGCGGGUUUAAGUCAUGUCUGCAAGAGACCAGGGGAAGGGAAACAGACAUUGCCUAGCAUUUGGAAAAUCAGCCACCAGACUAACAUGGCAGUGAAUGUUCAUGAGAGAAUGUUCAUGUUCAUGACCACAUCCACUGCUUUUCAAGGUCAUGUGGACAUCAAAUAAAGUCUAAUAUAGUUAGAUGAAUGUGUGUACUUUUAUCCGAUGAUGGAUGGAUACACACGUACACAUCUUGGCACAUUUCAACUAUCUUAUUCUUGCAGCCUUCAUAGUAACUUAAGUGAGUACUCUAAACCCUUAAUCCUGGUGUAGGGAUUGCCUAUACCAGUAGUUCACCUAACUGUGUUUAAAAGGGAGCAAAGCUCCCUGGUUUGUAACACAGUACAAAUGCCAUUUUACUCUAGUGAAAGGAAUAUUAAGGCUUACUCUAGUACUAUUAAUCCAUUACUGCCAGUUUCUGAUUGUUGGCCACACUUCUCUUUAUGUUGUUGCUGUAUUUUGCACGUGAGCCCUUUCAAGCAAUACUGUAAAAUGCAAAAAUCAGUACAUCUAGUUAACUUCUACCCUGAUCUCAGGGUAAUUAGGCCAAUCUUCAUUGACUAGGCCAAGCAGUUUGUAUGUGAAGUAGACAUCUGUAGUUUCUGCUACUUGCUCUGAAAUUCUAAUUUUGCUUCCUACAAGACACUUACUGCUGUAUGUUUAGUUAUUUUCCUUUUGAAAUUAAACGCCAGUCUCCAUUUCCCUGAUUCUUCCCUACUCAUGCCCUUGUCCUUCCACUUAUUUCCACCCCCACCUUUACUGAGGUGCUACCUAGGCACCAGUCUCAGGAGAAAUCCACAAGUUAAAGCUUUUUUCCAGACUAUGUGUGCAUGUUUCCAUAAAACUGAACAUGGCCUCCCUGAAAACACUGAAGGUUUAUUCAACAAGUUUGCCAGUGGCACAAGUUACAGAGUAAACUGGAGUAGCAGUAGGAGUUAGUAAGCCUAGUACUCCAUGGACAUGUUUGUUUUGUUUGCAUUUAACACACAAAAAACAAAACGAAAAAACCUCACACAACCAAAAAACCCUAUGGCUUUAAUGUCCUGUCUACUUGUGCCAACAGUGCCAUCUGCUGGAUGGAAUCAGACUAGCCUGAAUUUGAUUACUGCCCACUAGUGGCUGGAGGUUUGCAAAAAACAGAAGAGACCUAAUAAGAGAUCCUUCUUUUGCUUAAAUGGUAAAUGCCUGUUUCUGAAGCAGAAGACCACAAGUUCAGUUCCAAACCUCAUAUGCAGCUUAGUUAGCAACCAUGGUGUUAACUGUAUGAUGCAAUGCUUUGGUAGAGAAUGCUACACUUCAACAACAUAUUCAAUACUUCAACCGAUGUUGACUGUAUUACCCUACUCUGGGAAACUGCCUAUUCGUCCUCAAGGAACAUUGCUGUGAUGUGAGUUAACUCAAACUGCAUUGACCUGCUACAGUGAAAUCUAGGAGGGCACAAAUGACAAAAGCAGGUUGAAUUCAACCCUUAAAAUUGUCCAAAUGCACUCAGCCAGUUAGGGCAAUGAUAUGUGACUAUUACAGUUUUCAUCUAUCAAAAAACAUUCCUAUCAAUUUACAGAAUGCUGCUUACUUACUG